AAUGGCUUGUUAGUUAAUCAUGCUAUCCUGAAAAGAAAAUAAAAAUGUUAAAAAUAGUAAGCCCCAUGUGAGUAUGCUCGUGGCAUAAAACCCAUAACCCAUAAGUACAUUCACUGUGGUGGCGUAAAAAUAAAAUAAAUAUAUUCCUGUCCGAUAGAAAUGAAAAUAUAAAAAUAAAUUUAUGAUCCUACCAAAGAGAGUAAUAUUUAUUAGAGGAAGCGCAACAUGAUAAAUGCAAAG
rnacentral:lncRNA from 1 species